UAGCUAGUUGGUGAGGUAAAGGCUUACCAAGGCGACGAUCUGUAGCGGGUCUGAGAGGAUGAUCCGCCACACUGGAACUGAGACACGGUCCAGACUCCUACGGGAGGCAGCAGUGGGGAAUUUUGGACAAUGGGGCAACCCUGAUCCAGCCAUGCCGCGUGAGUGAAGAAGGCCUUCGGGUUGUAAAGCUCUUUCGGCCGGGAAGAAAUCGCAUGGGCCAAUACCCUGUGUGGAUGACGGUACCGGAAUAAGAAGCACCGGCUAACUACGUGCCAGCAGCCGCGGUAAUACGUAGGGUGCGAGCGUUAAUCGGAAUUACUGGGCGUAAAGCGUGCGCAGGCGGUUUUGUAAGACAGGCGUGAAAUCCCCGGGCUUAACCUGGGAACUGCGUUUGUGACUGCAAGGCUAGAGUACGGCAGAGGGGGGUGGAAUUCCACGUGUAGCAGUGAAAUGCGUAGAGAUGUGGAGGAACACCAAUGGCGAAGGCAGCCCCCUGGGUCGAUACUGACGCUCAUGCACGAAAGCGUGGGUAGCAAACAGGAUUAGAUACCCUGGUAGUCCACGCCCUAAACUAUGUCAACUAGGUGUUGGGUGGGUAAAACCAUUUAGUACCGUAGCUAACGCGUGAAGUUGACCGCCUGGGGAGUACGGCCGCAAGGUUAAAACUCAAAGGAAUUGACGGGGACCCGCACAAGCGGUGGAUGAUGUGGAUUAAUUCGAUGCAACGCGAAAAACCUUACCUACCCUUGACAUGCCUGGAACUUGCCAGAGAUGGCUUGGUGCCCGAAAGGGAGCCUGGACACAGGUGCUGCAUGGCUGUCGUCAGCUCGUGUCGUGAGAUGUUGGGUUAAGUCCCGCAACGAGCGCAACCCUUGUCGUUAAUUGCCAUCAUUUAGUUGGGCACUUUAACGAGACUGCCGGUGACAAACCGGAGGAAGGUGGGGAUGACGUCAAGUCCUCAUGGCCCUUAUGGGUAGGGCUUCACACGUCAUACAAUGGUCGGUACAAAGGGUUGCCAAGCCGCGAGGCGGAGCCAAUCCCAGAAAGCCGAUCGUAGUCCGGAUUGCAGGCUGCAACUCGCCUGCAUGAAGUCGGAAUCGCUAGUAAUCGUGGAUCAGCAUGUCACGGUGAAUACGUUCCCGGGUCUUGUACACACCGCCCGUCACACCAUGGGAGCGGGUUCCGCCAGAAGUAGGUAGCCUAACCGCAAGGGGGGCGCUUACCACGGCGGGGUUCGUGACUGGGGUGAAGUCGAAACAAGGUAGCCGUAGGGGAACCUGCGGCUG
rnacentral:rRNA from 1 species